rnacentral:rRNA from 1 species
AGUGAUGAAGGCCCUAGGGUCGUAAAGCUCUUUCGCCAGGGAUGAUAAUGACAGUACCUGGUAAAGAAGUCCCGGCUAACUCCGUGCCAGCAGCCGCGGUAAUACGGAGGGGACUAGCGUUGUUCGGAAUUACUGGGCGUAAAGCGCACGUAGGCGGACUGGAAAGUUGGGGGUGAAAUCCCGGGGCUCAACCCCGGAACUGCCUCCAAAACUCCCAGUCUAGAGUUCGAGAGAGGUGAGUGGAAUUCCGAGUGUAGAGGUGAAAUUCGUAGAUAUUCGGAGGAACACCAGUGGCGAAGGCGGCUCACUGGCUCGAUACUGACGCUGAGGUGCGAAAGCGUGGGGAGCAAACAGGAUU